rnacentral:rRNA from 1 species
GAUGAACGCUAGCAGGAGGCUUAAUACAUGCAAGUCGAGCGGGAUCCGCCUUUCGGGGCGGUGAGAGCGGCGCACGGGUGAGUAACGCGUACACGACCUACCUCUGACAAGGGGAUAGCCCUGGGAAACUGGGAUUAAUACCCUAUACGAUUCCGGAUAAUAAAGGUCUGGAAUGAAAGCUCCGGCGGUCAGAGAUGGGGUUGCGUCUGAUUAGCUAGUUGGUAGGGUAACGGACUACCAAGGCGAUGAUCAGUAGGGGGCGUGAGAGCGUGGUCGCCCACACGGGUACUGAGACACGGACACGACUCCUGCGGGAGGCAGCAGUAAGGAAUAUUGGUCAAUGGGCGCAAGCCUGAACCAGACAUCCUGCGUGCAGGAAGAAGGCCCUAUGGGUUGUAAACUGCUUUUGUCAGGGAAUAAACCUGUGGAUUUAUCCGCAGCUGAAGGUACCUGAAGAAUAAGCACCGGCUAACUCCGUGCCAGCAGCCGCGGUAAAAC